rnacentral:rRNA from 1 species
GGAUGCGAUCAUACCAGCACUAAAGCACAAGAUCCCAUCAGAACUCCGAAGUUAAGCGUGCUUGGGUGAGAGUAGUACUAGGAUGGGUGACCUCCUGGGAAGUCCUCGUGUUGCAUUCC